rnacentral:lncRNA from 1 species
UUUUUUUUUUUUUUUUUUUUUUUUUUUUUCCGCUAGUGCACUAGGAUUGCAAACGUCAGCUCUGAAAUAAAAAGCAGGAUAUUUCUGCCCCGCUCCUCUAUUCCGGAAGCUGGGAGGUUCUGUGGGAGAAAGGACCUGCACCCAAUAACUCAAUUUAAGAUUUAAGGUUUUGAGGGGCGUGGGGUUGGAAUCGCCUUGGAGAAACGGGUUUGCCUGCUUACCUGAGCCAAAGGAAGUUGCCCUCAAAGGCAGGUCAGCAAUCAUACCCCGCCAAAAGCAAAUGCACAUCAAAGUAACUUCCUUUAAAUGAGAUUACUGUAGUUUCCAUGUCUUCCACAUUAGUAAAUAAAUAUUUGGAAGACUUCGAAUUUGUGAUUUACGUUUAAAUAUAUUUCACCAACAUUGUUUAAUUAAAAAAAAAUCCCAUCUAAGAGAAGGUUCCUAUAGGAAAUUGGCCCUUUAACUCAUACACAGAUUACCCUCGGCACUUUCAGAAAACAACACAGUGACCAGUAUAUUCUGUCUUUUUGAUACAGCCAGAAGCACCCUGAAAGCUGAGACCUAACUGUGCUUUUGGAAAAUAAGCUUUUAGGAGUUGAAUGACCUUGUCUACUUCUUUUAGUCAGAAUAAUGUUGGCAUGUCUAUUUUAGGUUAAAAAAAAAUACAAAUUCUAAAAAGUGACUUUAAAGGCCCACUUUGAAAGCCUUAGCAUUUAAACUAACAUUAGAUUUAAAAGAAGGGCUUUUCUCCCCCAUUAUAGGAAGCUGUGUAAAAUCAUGUGUGAGGUUGUGAGGGUCAAAUGGAAGUCUAAGAUAAAGUUCUGCCAAUUACUGGUGUCUUUAAGCUUCCACCAGCAGCCAAGCACAGUGCAGAUCAUGAGUCCUUCAAAAUACGGGGUGGUUUUAAUGCUCUAAGUUGGUAUGAUUACUUUUUCUAAAGAGCUCAAAGUGCUUUGGUGCCAUAGUAUGAAUUUCAUUACCCAUUGUGAGACACAAAGGGGGUUAGCAAUGAUUCUGUUUGCACCCUGGAAGCCAAAGGCAGGUUACUCACCCACUUAGUUCCCUACCACAAGACCUUGAAAGAAACUGGAACCCCAGGUCUCCAGCCCAGAGAUUUUGUUGGAAGUUUCCAUUUGCAGGAAAUGACUGCAGGGCACAUGUGGGAAGUGACAGGAAUUUGAGGACUAACAUUUUAGUUUUCCUCAUUUCUUUUUAAAUCUGAGCAAUUGUUCAUUGAUCGAUAAUCUAUGUUCUUACAUUCAGAUAAAUAAAAACACCAACUGGCUAUUUUGUUCUUACUUAGUUUUAUGUGUAUGUCCAGGCAUUUGCCACUGCUCCUAAAUAGCUCUCCCUGAAGUCUUCUGGUCAUGAGUUAGGUUUCUUAUCCAGAAGCUCAUGUAGUGCCAGAGCUUAGCUCUCCUAUGACAACACAAUCACAUUAUUGAAACAUCUAUUUAGGGAUCUGUCUUCUCUAAUAGAUUAUAAACGCCUUGAGCUUGGGUAUCGUGAUUUAAUGAUGAAUCCUCCAUGGUAUCUGAAUCCCAGAAUCCUACAAUCCUGCAUGGUAUCUGAAACAUACUAUGCUCUUAAAAAAAAAAAAAAAAAA